GACGAACGCUGGCGGCGUGCUUAACACAUGCCAGUCGAACGGAAAGGCCCUGCUUUUGUGGGGUGCUCGAGUGGCGAACGGGUGAGUAACACGUGAGUAACCUGCCCUUGACUUUGGGAUAACUUCAGGAAACUGGGGCUAAUACCGGAUAGGAGCUCCUGCUGCAUGGUGGGGGUUGGAAAGUUUCGGCGGUUGGGGAUGGACUCGCGGCUUAUCAGCUUGUUGGUGGGGUAGUGGCUUACCAAGGCUUUGACGGGUAGCCGGCCUGAGAGGGUGACCGGCCACAUUGGGACUGAGAUACGGCCCAGACUCCUACGGGAGGCAGCAGUGGGGAAUAUUGCACAAUGGGCGGAAGCCUGGUGCAGCAACGCCGCGUGCGGGAUGACGGCCUUCGGGUUGUAAACCGCUUUCGCCUGUGACGAAGCGUGAGUGACGGUAAUGGGUAAAGAAGCACCGGCUAACUACGUG
rnacentral:rRNA from 1 species